GAAUCUUGCGCAAUGGGCGAAAGCCUGACGCAGCCAUGCCGCGUGAAUUAUGAAGGUCNUAGGAUNGNAAAAUUCUUUCACCGGGNACGAUAAUGACGGUACCCGGAGACGAAGCCCCGGCUAACUUCGUGCCAGCAGCCGCGGUAAUACGAAGGGGGCUAGCGUUGCUCGGAAAUACUGGGCGUAAAGGUCGCGUAGGCGGAUCGUUAAUUCAGGGGUGAAAUCCCGGGGCUCAACCUCGGAACUGCCAUUGGUACUGGCGAUCUUGAGUAUGAGAGAGGGAUGUGGAACUCCGAGUGUAGAGGUGAAAUUCGUAGAUAUUCGGAAGAACACCAGUGGCGAAGGCGACAUACUGGCUCAUUACUGACGCUGAGGCGCGAAAGCGUGGGGAGCAAACA
rnacentral:rRNA from 1 species